rnacentral:rRNA from 1 species
UACGUAGGGUGCGAGCGUUAAUCGGAAUUACUGGGCGUAAAGCGUGCGCAGGCGGUUCGUUGUGUCGGCGGUGAAAGCCCGGCUCAACCUGGGAAUGGCCGUUGAAACUGGCGAACUGGAGUGUGGCAGAGGGGGGUGGAAUUCCGCGUGUAGCAGUGAAAUGCGUAGAGAUGCGGAGGAACACCGAUGGCGAAGGCAGCCCCCUGGGCUGACACUGACGCUCAGGCACGAAAGCGUGGGGAGCAAACAGG